GGAGGGUCAAAAAUCACAUGUCUACAGUAAGUCCUGCGACGACGUACCCUUCUACGUUGUCCCCUCCCUUGACUUCGAGAACUCCCACUUGAAGUAAUUCGAACUUGUCCCUGUUCAGCCAUAUUUGAAAUAGGACCAAGGAAACAAUAAGAAUGGCUACAACCAUCCAAUGUGACAGCAUAUAUCACAAUUACUUGUAGAAGUAUAUUAAUCGAGGGAUUAAGACUAAACUUAUUUUUAAUAUUAAGAGACAAGCUUAGGGAUUUAGACUAAAUUUGUUAAUAGAAACUAAAUCUGAUUCUAUUCUUCAACUUUGCAGCCACAACCAAUGGUAUUAACAACACUUACUUGUCUACCAACAGCAAACCAACAUUAGUUACAUAGGACCAUUGAAAAUCUGUAACUUUAAUGAGAUCUUCUAUUUCUAUCUUUCUUACUGUUCUUAAAACAAAUAGGUUGACAUAGUAGCUGCAAUGAAUACUAUUGUCUUUUCCUUUUUCUAGUUAUUUUAGGGGCAAUGAUUCAGAAAGCCAUAUCAUUGAUUUAUUCUGUUAACUAUUAACUUGAACAAUAAAUGGCAAAGAUCAGAUCACAAUUUCAUAUAUUUUAAAGUUAAAGUCUCACUUACUUUAGCAUCAAGUAAGUAGCAAGAUUCUUUUUGUCCCAACACAAAAUUAAUAUUAAAAUAGACAUGAUGCAGAUUUUUAGGAAUUAAUCAUGACUUUAAAAGAAAUCCAUUAAAAUAAACUAUACUAAUAUGGAAGUCACUCCAAUCACAUCGAUUGUGAAGCCUUACUUUAAAGUUUAGGAGACAGUAAUUUAUCAAAAUACUGUUAUCCUAAUUUGGUAUGAAACCAGUAUAAACAAAAAAAAACUGCAAAGGGAAUUACUUUGAAACAAGCAAAAACUUAAGCAGAAACUUUUUUUUUGACUUGGAAACUUUUAAAGGGAGAGGCUCAUAUGCGCUAUUCUAUUGUCUGAUUGUCAGACUUGGUGAAGACCCAAAUUCUAAGUGAUUACGAGAAGUUUGGAUCAAAAUUGAAACUUGUCAUUGGAAACAAUUAGGAGGAAACAACGUAGGCUCUGAUACCAUUAUUAGUUAAAUUUGAGUAACAGGAACAAAGAAUUUGUGUACCUGUUAACAACAGCGGAAGAUUUUUGCAGAAUCUAUUUCAAUCAAUUGCCCGAAUCUGAUUUCGUCUCUCUUGAAAAUAAAAUUUUUGUUCACGAAUUAAAUACCUUUUUCUUUCUUUUACUGUGUUUCUAUCUUUGUAGAGAGAUUAACGCAAUGUUUUUUUUUCUCUGAAGAAGGGAGCUUUGAUUUAUAGAUAGGGAAAGUUGUCAGAGGAAAUAAAAACUACCGUGAAACUAACCCACG
rnacentral:lncRNA from 1 species